rnacentral:rRNA from 1 species
GAUGAACGCUGGCGGCGUGCUUAACACAUGCAAGUCGAGCGAAGCACUCUGCUUUGAUUCUUUCGGGAUGAAGAGCAUUGCGACUGAGCGGCGGACGGGUGAGUAACGCGUGGGUAACCUGCCUCAUACAGGGGGAUAACAGUUAGAAAUGGCUGCUAAUACCGCAUAAGACCACAGCACCGCAUGGUGCAGGGGUAAAAACUCCGGUGGUAUGAGAUGGACCCGCGUCUGAUUAGCUAGUUGGUGGGGUAACGGCCUACCAAGGCGACGAUCAGUAGCCGACCUGAGAGGGUGACCGGCCACAUUGGGACUGAGACACGGCCCAAACUCCUACGGGAGGCAGCAGUGGGGAAUAUUGCACAAUGGGGGAAACCCUGAUGCAGCGACGCCGCGUGAGCGAAGAAGUAUUUCGGUAUGUAAAGUUCUAUCAGCAGGGAAGAAAAUGACGGUACCUGACUAAGAAGCCCCGGCUAACUACGUGCCAGCAGCCGCGGUAAUACGUAGGGGGCAAGCGUUAUCCGGAU